rnacentral:rRNA from 1 species
GAUGAACGCUGGCGGCGUGCCUAAUACAUGCAAGUCGAGCGAACGGACGAGAAGCUUGCUUCUCUGAUGUUAGCGGCGGACGGGUGAGUAACACGUGGAUAACCUACCUAUAAGACUGGGAUAACUUCGGGAAACCGGAGCUAAUACCGGAUAAUAUUUUGAACCGCAUGGUUCAAAAGUGAAAGACGGUCUUGCUGUCACUUAUAGAUGGAUCCGCGCUGCAUUAGCUAGUUGGUAAGGUAACGGCUUACCAAGGCAACGAUGCAUAGCCGACCUGAGAGGGUGGUCGGCCACACUGGAACUGAGACACGGUCCAGACUCCUACGGGAGGCAGCAGUAGGGAAUCUUACGCAAUGGGCGAAAGCCUGACGGAGCAACGCCGCGUGAGUGAUGAAGGUCUUCGGAUCGUAAAACUCUGUUAUUAGGGAAGAACAUAUGUGUAAGUAACUGUGCACAUCUUGACGGUACCUAAUCAGAAAGCCACGGCUAACUACGUG